GGUAGCUUGGCCGAGCGGCACGUGACUACUUCCACUUUCAAUGUCAUUUGACUAACCUGUAUCAGGUCUAAGGCGGUAGAUUUAAGAUCUCUCUUAAAUCUCUACUGGGGAAACCCGCGUGAGUUCGAACCUCACAGCUACCA